AGGCCGGCCGAGUGGCGGCGUGGGUGUCUCUCCUCGUGCCGUCGAUGGGCGCGCGGUCUCCCUGGCGCGCUGUGGGAUGCGGCACAGGAGAGCUGCUUAGCCUAACGCUCAGGACGGAAGCCCAGCUGUGUGUGGGAGCUUCGGAACAACGAGUCCUCCGCCGGGACCUCGGUUUCCUCAUCCGAGGUGGGCGUCUCGCUGAGGCGCCGACAGGGCUGGAGUGAAGAGUAAGAGGGGAGGUGGUGGAGAGCGCGCGGGACGGAUCCUAGGGCGGGUCGCAGCCGCUCAAGGGAAGUUCCCUGGUAGCCGAACGAAGGGGCGCACGUUGGAUUGGGCCGCCUUGUCUCCCUUACGCCGGGGAGUGCGUCCAGGGAUGGCGCAGUGUUGCCCAGGAUAACCCCCGGCGCUCGAUGGGACCCCAGAGCCGCAGACUCUAGCCCGCCCUGCUUUACAGCACUUCGUCCCUCGUAGCCCUCAGACCUAGUCCAGCGCUGGGCGUUGUGUUGGAAAGAGAAAUAAAUGCUCGACGGACGAGGAUCCUUAAGGCAGAAUAGUGGGUUAAGGUGAUAAACGGUGGAGAAAAUCUAGGUCUGAAUCCUCCCUCAGCAGCUUACCAAACUAAGCCAAAUUCUCUAAGCCAAACUUUUCUGUAAAGCAGGAUGGAAAUAAUUACUUUGUAAGAUUAUCGUGGCAACCUUGGUGGCAUAAUGGUUAAGAGCUAUGGCUGCUAACCAAAAAGUCUGCAGUUCGAACCCACCAGACGCUCCUUGGAAACCCUGUGAGGCAGCUCUGCUCUGUCCUAUAGGAUCGCUAUGGGUGGGAAUCGACUGGACGGCAACGGGUUUGGUUUUUUGGAAGAUUAUUGUGAGGCCUGAAUGAAAUAUGUGUGACUUUCCGUUAGCACAGUGUCAAGUGUGUCUGCAUAAAACCAAAACUGGAGAAAGCUGGGGAACAACCUGUUUAAGCAAGAUAGACUUUUCAGCCAAAUAUAGAUGAGAACUUCAGAACUGGCAAGGUGGAAUGGUUCAGACACAGGCCAGACUCGGUUCGAUACCCAGCCUCAUCGCUUACAACCUGUACGAGGCUGGGCAAGUUACAUACUCUUUCUGAGAAUGGAAAUAAUAGAACCUACUCAUAUGACUGUUACGAGAAUCAAAUCAGUUAAUAUUUAUAAAGCACUUAGAAGAGUGACACAUAGAAAACAACAAAUUAUUAAUGAUAAGUAAAAUAUAGAGAAAUACCACGUUGGGUCAGACUUGUGAUCCAUAUUUUUUCAAAACUGUUCAAAUGUACCUCUCCUCGUUUCAACGCCACAGAUGGGAGAGGCAGACACGUGAGAGCCCAGCCCUCCUUUCCAGCCUUGUACCCUAUGGUCUCUUUUACUCUUGGUGAACUGAGCCCAAUGCCUCUCUACCCCCAGGCUUUGCUUCUGCCUUGCUCCCUACCUGAAGUGCUCUCCUCCUUUCACCUGUUGAGUUUUUGCCUAUCCUUUGAGCCCAGUGGCUGAGGGGAAGGUGGUGGUUUCUUUUACCUGGGGGUUGCCGAAUCACCCCAGCGUGGCAGAGCCUAUGGUUGGGUACUAGUUCAUGGAACAUCUGCUGCCCAGGCAGCAUCCGAAAGCAUAUACUGUCUCACUGCAAGUGGCUGGGAUCUCCUCUCCACGUGAGCCUAGACAUAGGCAUAGCAUGAAGGUCGAAGGGGGCCUCUGGGGGCACUGUGGGUGCAAUAGUAGCUGCCACCUUGGCAUUUGUGCUCCAUGCCCCACAGUUCGCCUGCCUCAACUCAAGCUGUGGUUUGCUCUGUAGGAAUAGGACUUGCACUGAGAUCCCUCUGGGCUGGCAUCUGCCACAAGCCUGCAGUAGAAGCCAGGCGUGGAGCCCUCUGACUUCUUGGGGCAGGGCCUUCCCAGAAGAGAAGAAGGAGAAGACCAGAAGGAAGACUCAAGUGAUUGAACCCCCGCUCUCCCAGCCCUACCCAUGGCUUCUGACUCAGGCUUGGGAGACAGGCACAGCUGGGUUGGAAUUUGACCCUGCCAUCUCUGUCAGUGUAACCUUGAGCUAGUCACUUAACCUCUCCCAACCUCAGUUUCAGCAAAAUAGAGAUGAUACAUCUGACUCAGAGGACUGUUAGGAGGGAAAGAUGAAGAUACACAUAAAGCACUUAGAAUUCUGUAAAAAUGGUAUGACAGGGUCUGAGUCUGACCUCCUCAUCUAACUUCACAAGGGGAAGGAGCGUCAAGAUCAACAGCCUAAGGCUGAUUCCUUUGAGGCAGAGGUCAGACACACCUCUUCUCUCAGCCACCUUUACCAACUCCGACACCAUCCGACCCUCCACGGCACUCUAGUUUUCUGCUAUAGGUUCAAUAAUUCGUUGCAGUUGCCACACAACUCAGCCCAUACAAUUAUGGGGUUUAUUAGGGAAGUAACAGGUUACAGUUUGUCAAUCAGGACAGCCUCUUCUCCGCUAAGCCCACAGGUACACCUCUAUCUGGCCCCUCCACCCCUCAGCCCAGCCUCUGUCCUGCUCAGGCAAGUGUUACAAAGCUCCCUUAGCUCUGCUGCUAAGUACUCAGAGGCACCCCACUCUGCCAGUAAGCCUUGGGCCGGAGGUGCUCAGCUCUAGCUUUGUGGGUCGGGAAACCUAGCUCCACCAAGUGCUCAGAGGCACCCUACUCUGCCAGCAAGCCUCUUGCCUGAAGGCACUCAGCUUUCUUGCUCCAUGGGUCAGGGGGCCCACCACACCAUCUCCUGCCAGCCUUCUGCCUCUGCUGCUGCCACUUCUUGCCACCUUCAGUGUUCCAGCUCUUUCUCUCUCAUUCUCAUGGCAAAGGAGGCAGUUGUUCAUGGAGGCAGUUACCCUCAAGUUCCAUAUCCUCUUACAAUUCCUGACUCUCCUUCCUCUGUUGCUCCAGGUGAAUAGAGACCAAUUGUGCAAGCUUUUAAGACCCCAGGUACUAUGCAGCGAGCUAGGUGGUAGAACAGAAGCACUAAACAUGUUAUAAGGCCAGUUAACUGGAGCGUCCCAUGAAACCAUCACCCUAAACCUCCAAACCAAGGCACCAAAUCCCAUGAGGUGUUUGGUUGUACAUAAGCAGCCUCAGCAGCUACUUUUGUUGUUGUUGAUACAAAUAUAUCUGUCACAAAACUUUUGUUGAUUCACUUUUAUAGCUGUACAACUUAUUGACAGCAAUUACAAUCGGCUGUGCAACCCUGCCCUUAAUCAAUGUGACUUUUUCCAUCACUGUUAACUUCCCUUUUUCCCUUCCCUCCUGCCCCUGGUAACCACUAAUAAACUUUGGUCUGUGCAUUUGCCUUUUCUUGUCUUUUUAUAUAAGUGAGGUCAUACGCUAUUUCUCCUUUUGCGAUUGGCAUUAUUUCGCUCAGCGUAAUGUCUUCAAACUCCAUCCAUACUAUAGCUUGUAUCAAGACUUCAUAUCUUCUCCUGGCUGGGUAGUAUUCCACUGUAGCAGUAUGUGGAAGAGGAUUGGCAUGGCAGCCCUUGUGAGGGUGCCUUGCUGGAGCGGAAGGCACAGAUGACAAAUGCAGAAGAUACUUAUUGUGCACCUACUCAGUUCCAGGCAUCACUCAGCUGGUCCUGGCCCUAAAAUGAAGGAGAGAGGAGGUCCCUGGCCUGGAGACCAGAAGAGGCUUGGCUCAGUUGGUGCACUGUCCCCCAGCAGGCUGAGAGGAAGGGCCUUGGCUGUGGGGUGCUGAGAGGCCUGGGGAGAACCAGCUUGUCACCAUACCUCCCUGUCACAAACCGCCCCCCCCAACCUGCCCUGCUUUGUGCGGUCCUCUGGGAUGCACAGCAUCCCUAUCUAUGAGGAUGUUGCCCAUGGAAACCUCCAGAUGACCUGGGGGGACAUCUGGGCUUUCAGUGGGGUGUCAGGCUCUGGUCUCUGCUCUUUGAAGGCUGAAGGGUUGAAGCCCAGAAGCGGGCUGACUUCCCUGUCCCUGGGGAGUGAUGGGGCCCCUGGCCUAGCUGAUUGGCCUCCUGCCCACUGGCCCUGCAGAGGACAUGGAGAGCUUCCCCACUGCACUGCUGGGGACAGUGGCCAUCACCCCAGGCAUUGGGCGAUGGUGGCCAUGUUUCUGUUUGGGGUAACAAAAACAUUUUAGAAAUAGUGAUGGUUGUACAAUGUGAGUUUAAUUAAUCCCACUCAAUUGUACACUUAAAAAUGGUUAAAAUUGCAAGUUUUAUGUUACAUAUAUUAAAAAAUAAACUAUUUUAUGCUGACUGUAACCUAUUUUUCCUGCUUCAUAUUCCUGCCUUCCCUGACCCUCAAGUUCCUUUAUGUCACACACCACAACCAUUUUUGAAAGCCUCCCGUGUGGCAAUUAACAAACAUUAAGUGUCUAAUUUUCUCAGCAACCCUGUGAGGUAUGUGUUGUUAGCUCCAUUUUACAGAUGGGGAAACUGAGUCUCACACCGGUCAGACUCCAAGGUCCGUGUUCUUUUCCCACGUGGCAGUUCCUCUCUGUUGUUCGCUCCGAUGCCUCAGUGCCUUUGCUUAUGCAUGGGUAUGACACCUGGCUCAGACUCACAUCUUACCACCCUUAUGUGCCCCGACACCACCAGAAACCUCACCUUUUUCUUUUGCACCAAGAUGUCAACAUCACAUCUCAUGAAUUGCAAUUUGUAGAAUGGAAUUCAACCUAGUAUCCUUUAACUGGGAGCAAAAUUUAGUUUUACUCAAUUUCACGUUGAUUCCAACUCAUGGUGACCCCAUGUGUGUCGAGUAGAACUGUGCUUCACAGGGUUUUUGUUGUUAUUAAUAAUAAUGUGUUUUUGGCAAAAGUUUACAAAGCCAAUUAGGUUCCCUCCAUAGGGUUUUCAGUGGCUGAUUUUUCGGAAGCAGAUUGCCAGGCCUGUCUUCCGAGGUGCCUCUGGGUGGGUUUAACCCAUCAACCUUUCAGCUAGAAAUUAAACACUAAACCAUUUGUGCCACCCAGAGAUUUGCUUACAAAUGUAUCAUCCUCCCCCGACACUGGAAUGUCAGCUCCAAGAGAGCAGGGAUCGAGUCUGUCAUGUGCCCCAGCACCUGGAGCCACAUGUGGCACAUGGUGGAUGCUCAGUAAACAGCUGUGGCUUCAGCUGAUGGGCAACACGGCCAGGUCUGUCCCCCACUCCCGCAUGCUCCCCAGCCCCCUGAUGCUGGAGAAUCUCCCUGGGAUUUUCCCCUUGGGUCUCCUCUAACAGACCCUGGCUGUCUGGGUAGGACCAGCCCCAAGCCUGGCCCACACCAGUGCUCGGCCACUGGUUGCCAGCGCCCAACCAAUGUGGGAACAGCCAUAAUUAGACACU